UCGCGCGACAGAGCGAUGUGCGCGCCGGCAUCGAAGCUCUGCCGUGAUGCGCGCACACGGGUGAGCACCGUGUAUUCGGUCCUAUCAAUCCCCUACAACGUGAAGCAUCGGCUACUUUAGAAAACAUGGCAGGAUGCAAGUUCAACAACGGCUUGAAAAGAACGAGUGUUUCUGGUCACGGUGGGUGAAAUGCUUCUGAAUCUGCGUUAUGUGUCGCGAGACUUCCAGCGGUGGAAUCUCACGUGCAGAGCAAGAAGCACAGAGACUAGCGAAGGCCGCCAGCAGCCCGCGGGGCUAGCUGCUGCUCCGCCGCUAGCUGCUGCUCCGCCGCUAGCUCCUGCUCCGCCGCUAGCUCCUGCUCCGCCGCUAGCUCCUGCUCCGCCGCCCGCAACGACGUCAACUACAACGCUGGAGGUCACCGGAGGAAAUCCAGCGCCUUGCAACAAAGAGCUCAUCACCGAAGACCAACGCUGCAGUGCGUUCUUCAUUCUGUUCCACGAGACUCUGGACCAGACCACCGCGAGCAGACAGCUGGACUUCAUGUGCGUUAUUGGUGAAAUGACCACGUCCAGUCAGGAUCCUGUGGAGCUCAUGGGCCAUGACACCAGGACCUACUUCAGCACCUCAAAGAGAAUGGACCAAAUGUCAACUGGAAGUUUUUAUAUUAAUACAGUUUGAAAAGGAUUGUUUUCCUAGUAUAUUCACAAAAGCUCAGGAGUAGACAUGAACCUGUGCACAAACAUCCAUCACAUAGAGACAUGAGAACUCACACUCACUCACCCACACACACAUACAUUCUAUUAUGUAAAUGUAUUAGCAUUUUAAAAGCAGCUGGAAAUGUUAUUUGUUAUUUUAUGGAUUUUUUUUGUUCAAAAGGAACUAUGUUGCAUGUAUUUUUUAAAUAUAUUUACUUAAUUUGAGAGACAUUUGUUCAUGGGACUUAAAUGUUCUGAAAAUGUAUUAAUAAAUAUAAUUUACAACA